UACGGGGGGAGCAAGCGUUGUUCGGAUUUACUGGGCGUAAAGGGCGCGUAGGCGGCCACCGCAAGUCAAUUGUGAAAUCUCCGGGCUUAACUCGGAAAGGUCAACUGAUACUGCGGGGCUAGAGUGCGGAAGGGGCAACUGGAAUUCUCGGUGUAGCGGUGAAAUGCGUAGAUAUCGAGAGGAACACCUGCGGCGAAGGCGGGUUGCUGGGCCGACACUGACGCUGAUGCGCGAAAGCCAGGGGAGCGAACAGG
rnacentral:rRNA from 1 species